rnacentral:rRNA from 1 species
UUGCCGGCGACCGGCGACGGGUGCGUAACGCGUAUGUAACCUACCUUUGACAGGGGGAUAACAUCGAGAAAUUGGUACUAAUACCCCAUAACAUCACCGGAGGCAUCUUCGGUGGUUGAAAACUCAGGUGGUCAGAGAUGGACAUGCGUUGUAUUAGCUAGUUGGUGAGGUAACGGCUCACCAAGGCGACGAUACAUAGGGGGACUGAGAGGUCAACCCCCCCACAUUGGUACUGAGACACGGCCCAAACUCCUACGGGAGGCAGCAG